GAGAAAUAGGAUAGCAGCCGCUGUGGGAGAGCGUAAGCGGAGCCAGCUGGGGCCUACUUCUGCUUUCUGUUUCUCAGUUUUUGUUUCUCGUGAUUAUUUUUAACCCAGAUGUUGGUCAUUCGAAGCUUUCAUAAACUCACAGGCCCUUAUCAGUUAAAGGCGCCCCAAAGCUUAUGGAAUCAGGAACAUCAUCUGGCAUGAAGAGAAGAUAUUGGGAGUACAGGAAAUCAGCCCGCUGUACACUUACUCCCCCAUCAGCUGCCAGAUGCCUUAAAUUUAUUCUUCAGAUUGGAAUGCAUAAAGUCAACUUAAAGAAUUUUCAGUCAUCACAUUUUCCUAAUUGAAGCCCCUGUCCAAAAGUGGGGCAGUGUUUCAACUGUAAUAUUUCGGGUACUGCUCCCAGGAUCUGUAUCGUUUGAGACCUUCCUUUAGGACUGGAUAAAGGUAAUUUUUAACCUACCAGACUGCCCAGAGAUGAUGGUGAGAUGCUUGGGUUGUCAGCAUUGAAACUUGCCAAAGUAAUACUCCUGUAACACAGUAUGAGAUGAAAGCUUAGAGUUAUGGAGCUCAUUUGCAGGAGGUAGACAGCCAAGGAGAUACCUAACCAC
rnacentral:lncRNA from 1 species